GCCGGGAUAACUCAGCGAUAGAGUACUUGUUUUGUAAUCAAGUGGUCCGCAGUUUGAAUCUGCGUCCCGGCACCA
rnacentral:tRNA from 1 species